rnacentral:pre_miRNA from 2 species
GUGUAUUCUACAGUGCACGUGUCUCCAGUGUGGCUCGGAGGCUGGAGACGCGGCCCUGUUGGAGUAA